AUCUUAUGCAUAAUGAAGCCACGUUGUAAAUUUAAGGGACUUUCAUAUGGUAGGUCUCUAUAAUUUCAGAAAAGAAGGGACUUUAGAUGUGGAGUAGGUUGGCAAGGCUUAUGCAUGUGAUGGUGAAUGCAAAAUAAGGAAAAUGCAACCUUGGAAACCCAGAUAUAUCAAACUCAGAUUUUCAGUCUUCCAUCCCUUCUCAAAAACAUUUAUUUUGAUCCAAUCAACGCUGCUAGGCCACAGUCCACAUAUUUUAUUCAAUCCAAGGAUCUCGUUGGCACUCCCUCUUGGACUUCAUCAUUCUGCCUUAGUUUCUCAUGCUUACAACAUAAUUUCUUUCCAGAAAAUGCUAAAGCUAAUCGCAUGGAUUGGUUUCAAGUAAUAAUAAAGCUUGUGCUAAAGUUGAUUUAUAUUCUUAGUGACAUAUACAUAGAGAGGGAUCGGAGAUGAGACAUGAUAAUAAAGCUUGUGCUCAAGUUGAUUUAGAAUUAAUCUAUUUGGAAGGUGAUGGAAUCAUAUAAAGUAUUUAUUUUAGAUUAAUAAUAUUUAUUACUUUAUUUAGUGUAUUCUGCACAACUAAAAAAAUAUUUUAUUCUUUAUAUCUUGAGGCAUGUUGUUGA